rnacentral:rRNA from 1 species
GACGAACGCUGGCGGCGUGCUUAACACAUGCAAGUCGAACGGAAAGGCCCUGCUUGCAGGGUACUCGAGUGGCGAACGGGUGAGUAACACGUGGGUGAUCUGCCCUGCACUUCGGGAUAAGCUUGGGAAACUGGGUCUAAUACCGGAUAGGAGCCAUCUUUAGUGUGGUGGUUGGAAAGUUUUUUCGGUGUAGGAUGAGCUCGCGGCCUAUCAGCUUGUUGGUGGGGUAAUGGCCUACCAAGGCGGCGACGGGUAGCCGGCCUGAGAGGGUGUACGGCCACAUUGGGACUGAGAGACGGCCCAGACUCCUACGGGAGGCAGCAGGGGGGAAUAUUGCACAAUGGGCGCAAGCCUGAUGCAGCGACGCCGCGUGGGGGAUGAAGGCCUUCGGGUUGUAAACUCCUUUCGCUAGGGACGAAGCUUUGUUGUGACGGUACCUAGAGAAGAAGCACCGGCUAACUACGUG